CGGCAACGGAUAUCUCGGCUCUCGCAUCGAUGAAGAACGUAGCGAAAUGCGAUACUUGGUGUGAAUUGCAGAAUCCCGUGAACCAUCGAGUCUUUGAACGCAAGUUGCGCCCGAAGCCACUAGGCCGAGGGCACGCCUGCCUGGGCGUCACACGCCGUUGUCCC
rnacentral:rRNA from 1 species